rnacentral:rRNA from 1 species
GAUGAACGCUGGCUACAGGCUUAACACAUGCAAGUCGAGGGGAAACGACGGGGAAGCUUGCUUCCCCGGGCGUCGACCGGCGCACGGGUGAGUAACGCGUAUCCAACCUGCCUCUGACUGAGGGAUAACCCGUCGAAAGUCGGCCUAAUACCUCAUGGCAUCGUCUGCGGGCAUCCAACGACGAUUAAAGAUUUCAUCGGUCAGAGAUGUGGAUGCGUCUGAUUAGCUUGUUGGCGGGGUAACGGCCCACCAAGGCGACGAUCAGUAGGGGUUCUGAGAGGAAGGUCCCCCACAUUGGAACUGAGACACGGUCCAAACUCCUACGGGAGGCAGCAGUGAGGAAUAUUGGUCAAUGGGCGAGAGCCUGAACCAGCCAAGUAGCGUGCAGGAUGACGGCCCUAUGGGUUGUAAACUGCUUUUAUGCGGGGAUAAAGUGAGGGACGUGUCCUUCAUUGCAGGUACCGCAUGAAUAAGGACCGGCUAAUUCCGUG